AGUGAACGCUGGCGGUAGGCCUAACACAUGCAAGUCGAACGGCAGCACAGUAAGAGCUUGCUCUUACGGGUGGCGAGUGGCGGACGGGUGAGGAAUACAUCGGAAUCUACUUUUUCGUGGGGGAUAACGUAGGGAAACUUACGCUAAUACCGCAUACGACCUACGGGUGAAAGCAGGGGAUCUUCGGACCUUGCGCGAUUGAAUGAGCCGAUGUCGGAUUAGCUAGUUGGCGGGGUAAAGGCCCACCAAGGCGACGAUCCGUAGCUGGUCUGAGAGGAUGAUCAGCCACACUGGAACUGAGACACGGUCCAGACUCCUACGGGAGGCAGCAGUGGGGAAUAUGGGACAAUGGGCGCAAGCCUGAUCCAGCCAUACCGCGUGGGUGAAGAAGGCCUUCGGGUUGUAAAGCCCUUUUGUUGGGAAAGAAAAGCAGCAGGUUAAUACCCCGCUGUUCUGACGGUACCCAAAGAAUAAGCACCGGCUAACUUCG
rnacentral:rRNA from 1 species